AAGCAAUGAUGAACCGAACUCUCUCACUGAUCAAGUUGAGGACAAUAUCUACAUUAUCAGAGCUUU
rnacentral:snoRNA from 1 species